rnacentral:rRNA from 1 species
ACUGUCUUCGAGACCGAAAAGUGGAAUUCCUAGUGUAGCGGUGAAACUGCGUUAAGAAUUAAGAAGAACACCCCAGUGGCGAUGCGACCUUUCUGGAACAAUAACUGAACGCCUGAGGCCUCCGAAUGCCCGUGGGGAGGCAAAACAGGAUUAGGAUACCCUGGUAGUUCACCGCCGUAACGAUUGGGUACUAAGGUUGUUAGGGGGUAUUCGACUCCCCCCUGUGCCGCCGUUAACACAAUAAGUACCCCGCCCUGGGGAGUACGGUCGCAAGAUUAAACUCAAAGGAAUUGACGGGGGCCCGCACAAGCAGCGGAGCAUGUGGUUUAAUUCGAAGCAACGCGAAGAAACCUUACCUAGACUUGACAUCUCCUGAAUUACUCUUAAUCGAGGAAGUUCUCCCUUCGGGGAGGACAGGAAGACAGGUGGUGCAUGGUUGUCGUCAGCUCGUGUCGUGAGAUGUUGGGUUAAGUCCCGCAACGAGCGCAACCCUUAUUGUUAGUUGCUACCAUUUAGUUGAGCACUCUAGCAAGACUGCCGUGGUUAACGCGGAGGAAGGUGGGGAUGACGUCAAAUCAUCAUGCCCCUUAUGUCUAGGGCUACACACGUGCUACAAUGGCGAGUACAAAGAGACGCAAAGCCGCGAGGUGGAGCAAAACUUAUAAAACUCGUCUCAGUUCGGAUUGCAGGCUGAAACUCGCCUGCAUGAAGCUGGAGUUGCUAGUAAUCGCGAAUCAGAAUGUCGCGGUGAAUACGUUCCCGGGCCUUGUACACACCGCCCGUCACACCAUGAGAGUUGGCAAUACCCGAAGUCCGUAGCCUAACCUUUUAGGAGGGCGCGGCCGAAGGUAGGGUCAGCGAUUGGGGUGAAGUCGUAACAAGGGCCAUUCCA